UACAGAGGGGGCAAGCGUUGUUCGGAAUUACUGGGCGUAAAGGGCGCGUAGGCGGCCUGUUAAGUCGAACGUGAAAUCCCCGGGCUCAACCCGGGAACUGCGUCCGAUACUGGCAGGCUUGAAUCCGGGAGAGGGAUGCGGAAUUCCAGGUGUAGCGGUGGAAUGCGUAGAUAUCUGGAGGAACACCGGUGGCGAAGGCGGCAUCCUGGACCGGCAUUGACGCUGAGGCGCGAAAGCCAGGGGAGCAAACGGG
rnacentral:rRNA from 1 species